rnacentral:rRNA from 1 species
UACGUAGGGGACUAGCGUUGUCCGGAAUCAUUGGGCGUAAAGCGCGUGUAGGCGGUCCGGUAAGUCCGCUGUGAAAGUCGAGGGCUCAACCCUCGAAUGCCGGUGGAUACUGUCGGGCUAGAGUACGGAAGAGGCGAGUGGAAUUCCUGGUGUAGCGGUGAAAUGCGCAGAUAUCAGGAGGAACACCAAUUGCGAAGGCAGCUCGCUGGGACGUUACUGACGCUGAGGCGCGAAAGCUAGGGGAGCAAACGGG